rnacentral:rRNA from 1 species
GCGCACGGGUGAGUAACGCGUAAAUAAUCUACCCCUGCCUCCGGGAUAACCCACCGAAAGGUGCGCUAAUACCGGGUACGUUCUUUUGAUCACGAGAUUAAAAGAAAAAAGGUGGCCUCUGAUAUAACCUACUGUGCGGGGAGGAGUUUGCGUACCAUUAGCUAGUUGGUAGGGUAAUGGCCUACCAAGGCAAUGAUGGUUAGCGGGUCUGAGAGGAUGAUCCGCCACUCUGGAACUGGAACACGGACCAGACUCCUACGGGAGGCAGCAGUGAGGAAUAUUGCGCAAUGGGGGCCACCCUGACGCAACGACGCCGCGUGGAUGAUGAAGGCCUUCGGGUCGUAAAAUCCUGUCCGAUGGAAAGAAAUGUAUAUGGAUUAAUAGUCCUUAUGCUUGACGCUACCAUCAAAGGAAGCACCGGAUAACUCCGUGCCAGCAGCCGCGGUAAUACCGAGGGUGCAAGCGUUGUUCGGAAUUUCUGGGGCGUAAAACACUCGUAGGAGGUCUGUUAUGUCAGAUAUAAAACUCCACGGCUCACC